AUCUCCAGCUGGUUUCUCAAUAACCCAAAAGCACGAGUUUAGGAGCUUUUUUCAAACUCAAGAACUUUAAUCUGCAGCAUUUUUUAUUGCGUGGGAAUCUACAGCUCUUCGAGACGCGGGAAUAUUCUCAACAACUUUAAUCUGCAGCAUUUUUUAUUGCGUGGGAAUCUACAGCUCUUCGAGACGUAGGAAUAUCAGAUUUCCAGCAGCAUUCUGGUCUGU
rnacentral:lncRNA from 1 species